GCGCAGCAGUCGAGAAUUUUUCUCAAUGGGGGAAACCCUGAAGGAGCGACGCCGCGUGGAGGAUGAAGGUCUUCGGAUUGUAAACUCCUGUCAUUUGGGAACAAGUUGCAUCGAUUAACUGUCGAUGCAUUGAUAGUACCAGAAGAGGAAGAGACGGCUAACUCUGUGCCAGCAGCCGCGGUAAUACAGAGGUCUCAAGCGUUGUUCGGAUUCAUUGGGCGUAAAGGGUGCGUAGGUGGCGGGGUAAGUCAGGUGUGAAAUCUCGAGGCUCAACCUCGAAACUGCACUUGAUACUGCCUUGCUAGAGUACUGGAGAGGAGAUUGGAAUUUACGGUGUAGCAGUGAAAUGCGUAGAUAUCGUAAGGAAGACCAGUGGCGAAGGCGAAUCUCUGGACAGUUACUGACACUGAGGCACGAAGGCCAGGGGAGCAAACGGGGUUAGAUACCCCCGUAGU
rnacentral:rRNA from 1 species